rnacentral:rRNA from 1 species
GAUGAACGCUGGCGGCGUGCCUAAUACAUGCAAGUCGAGCGGCAACACGGUCUUCGGACUGGUGGCGAGCGGCGGACGGCUGAGUAACGCGUAGGAACGUGCCCCAAAGUGAGGGAUAAGCAUCAGAAAUGGUGUCUAAUACCGCAUGUGUCUCCGGAUCAAAGCCUUCGGGCGCUAUGGGAACGGCCUGCGUCUGAUUAGCUAGUUGGUGAGGUAACGGCUCACCAAGGCGACGAUCAGUAGCUGGUCUGAGAGGAUGACCAGCCAGACUGGGACUGAGGCACGGCCCAGACUCCCACGGGAGGCAGCAGUAGGGAAUCUUCCACAAUGGGCGAAAGCCUGAUGGAGCAACGCCGCGUGCAGGAUGAAUGACUUCGGGUUGUAAACUGCUUUUGUUAGUGACGAUUAUGACGGUAACUAGCGAAUAAGGAUCGGCUAACUCCGUGCCAGCAGCCGCGGUAA